CUCAGUAAUAGAGACAGAGAGACAGGUGAUCCUGUAGAAAGAGGAGGUUGACUGGCUCAGUAAUAGAGACAGAGAGACAGGUGAUCCUGUAGAAAGAGGAGGUUGACUGGUUCAGUAAUAGAGACAGAGAGACAGGUGAUCCUGUAGAAAGAGGAGGUUGACUGGCUCAGUAAUAGAGACAGAGAGACAGGUGAUCCUGUAGAAAGAGGAGGUUGACUGGUUCAGUAAUAGAGACAGAGAGACAGGUGAUCCUGUAGAAAGAGGAGGUUGACUGGCUCAGUAAUAGAGACAG